CCUGAUUAGAGGAGAUAAUCGGUCUCAGAUCAAAACUAGACUGAGCAUCUAUUUAUUAAAAAUGUAUUUGACCCAUAAAGACUAGUUGUAGCUGUCACUGAAAUAUGUGUCCUUAUUUGAUAUGUAUGUAUUUUUAUUUGUUUGAUUAUGCACUUUUGCACCCUAAAAUUGUAUUAGUUUGCUGCAAACUCUCAUAAUUAAUGACCUCUGCUGGUGGAGAAAAAAUACACUUAGGGUUGCAUAGUCAUGUGAUGCAUCUGGUUAGUCAUGUGAUGUAAUAUAGCAGGGACAAUGAGUUUAGUUCUGCUUUGGAGAUUAUGGGAAAAACACAUCUUUAAGAAGAGCUGCUCCUUACUUAUGACUGGAGGGCACGCACGUCUCAACAGGUCUGGUGACAUUUGUGAUGACCAACAUCUCGGCAGGAUCACUGACUCACCAGAUUAAUCAAGGGACCGCCUGAAUUUCCAAACUGCAAAAAUUACAACAUGACACAUUACUGAGACACAGUAAAUCCAUUCCAGUCCAUGUUGGAGUUUGACAGGCCCAGCUCUUUACUGCCUCUCUGUGCCGAGCUGACUAUUCCUGAAGUGAUUGUGUUUCGUAAAGCAAACGGGCUUCCCAUGGCAACCACGAACUCUCCUUGUCGCACGUCAGACGACCGUCCAA